AGUAACACGUAAGCAACCUGCCUAUCAGAGGGGAACAACAGUUAGAAAUGACUGCUAAUACCGCAUAUGCCUUGAGUAUUGCAUGAUACAAAAGGGAAAGGAGCAAUCCGCUUAUAGAUGGGCUCGCGUCCGAUUAGCUAGUUGGUGGGGUAGAAGCCUACCAAGGCGACGAUCGGUAGCCGGACUGAGAGGUUGAACGGCCACAUUGGGACUGAGAUACGGCCCAGACUCCUACGGGAGGCAGCAG
rnacentral:rRNA from 1 species